rnacentral:rRNA from 1 species
GGCUCGUGGGUUGUAAACCCCUUUUCUCAGGGAAGAAGUUCUGACGGUACCUGAUGGAAUCAGCCUCGGCUAACUCCGUGCCAGCAGCCGCGGUAAUACGGAGGAGGCAAGCGUUAUCCGGAAUUAUUGGGCGUAAAGCGUCCGCAGGUGGCUAGUCAAGUCGGUGGUCAAAGCACAGGGCUCAACUCUGUAAAGGCCGGCGAAACUGACAGGCUAGAGUGCGGUAGGGGCAGAGGGAAUUCCCGGUGUAGCGGUGAAAUGCGUAGAUAUCGGGAAGAACACCAGUAGCGAAAGCGCU